rnacentral:rRNA from 1 species
ACAAGCAGUGGAGUAUGUUGGUUUAAUUCGAAGCAACGCGAAGAACCUUACCAGGGCUUGACAUCCCUUGAAGCAGCUAGAGAUAGCUGUGUCCUCGGGUGACAGGGAGACAGGUGGUGCAUGGUUGUCGUCAGCUCGUGUCGUGAGAUGUUGGGUUAAGUCCCGCAACGAGCGCAACCCCUACGUUUAGUUGCUAACGCGUGAAGGCGAGCACUCUAGACGAACUGCCGUUGACAAAACGGAGGAAGGUGGGGAUGACGUCAAAUCAUCAUGCCCCUUAUGUUCUGGGCUACACACGUGCUACAAUGGCCGGUACAGACGGACGCAAAGCCGCGAGGUGGAGCAAAUCCUAAAAAGCCGGUCUCAGUUCGGAUUGCAGGCUGCAAUUCGCCUGCAUGAAGUCGGAAUCGCUAGUAAUCGCAGGUCAGCAUACUGCGGUGAAUACGUUCCCGGGCCUU